CGCCGCGCCCGGCCUUGGCCAUUGUUCUUUCAGGCAGUAUUUUAGCUGUCCUUCGGCGCAGUUGAAGAUUCUGUAACUGGGCGUUUGCCAUUCAAAAUAGGUAGAGUUGCACAUUCAAGAGGGAAACAGUCCUGAGGCAUUCUCACAGAUAAAGGUCCUCGUGGUUCAACAAGAAUGAUAUCCAGAUUGUGCUUCAGAAGUGCUUUGGGUCCACCACCUACUGCAUUUGUGUCACAAUCCCAUUUUCUGCUAAAUAGGGUCUCCUGAACUUCCCUGCUCUCCACUUUUUCCGAGUCUUAGUCAUUCAACUGUUUGGACUUAAUGAGAUACUCAUAUUAUUUCAAAAUCUCCACUUUUUAAAGUUAAUCUGUGUUGACUUCUGA
rnacentral:lncRNA from 10 species